rnacentral:tRNA from 2 species
GCGGCCGUAGCUCAACGGCAGAGCGGCGGAUUGUGGAUCCGUAAGGUAUAGGUUCGAUUCCUGUCGGCCGCCCCA